rnacentral:rRNA from 1 species
CUCCCUACGGGACGCAGCAGUGGGGGAUAUUGCACAAUGGGGGAAACCCUGAUGCAGCGACGCCGCGUGUGGGAAGACGGUCUUCUGGAUUGUAAACCACUGUCCCCAGGGAUGAAAAUGACGGUACCUGGGGAGGAAGCUCCGGCUAACUACGUGCCAGCAGCCGCGGUAAUACGUAGGGAGCAAGCGUUGCCCGGAAUUACUGGGUGUAAAGGGAGCGUAGGCGGGGAUGCAAGUUGGGUGUCAAAACUACCGGCUCAACCGAUAGUCGCACUCAAAACUGCAGCUCUUGAUUGAAGUAGAGG